GUAGAGUUCAGGCACUACGGAAAAGCAGGCAAGCACAUGUCAACUCAUCUUCUGGGUGUACAUCACCAUUUCUGGGCUCCCGGUCACCACAAGGCAACACCAAUAGGACCAACCUGCACCCUGCUGUACUGCCAUGCUCAGUCCCAGAGGCGAGCACCACUGGCAGGUGAUGGACAGGAGAUGCAUUUUGGAACUGCCCUAGCCUGCUGGCAGCUCCCUGGGUGCACAGAGUAGCAGCAAGAAGAGAACAAUGCGGUGCCCCUGGAGUUUUCUGCUCUAACUCAUCCUCCCUCUUUCCAACCCAUCACUUUUAUCCUACCUUAAAGCUGGAUGAUGGCAGAUCUCAGAUCAGCUAUGGCAGAGCACGAGGAGCCCGUCACAAGCAUCUGGAUAGGUCAACAGCUUCCAGCAGGGCAGCCUGGCCUCAGGUGAGCAUCAUCAUAACACCUUCAUUAAGAGCACCUGGGAACCAAAAAAACAACCAAAAAAAACAACCAACAAAAAACUGGCAGGUGGAUAUAUUGCCUAUCUUCAACCAUUUACCUGCUGCUUGCAGCGUGAAGAGGUGCUUCAAAACCGGUCUACUGCAGAGGGUGUUUUGUGGGGGUUAUACAGCUCCUGUGCCACCAACCCCAAGUGAGCUGGAUCCCCUCAAGCCAGAAAGGCAGGCAGAACUUGCAUGAGCAGUCCUUUCUUGGCCAGAUUUGUAUCUCCCAGUAUCUUCUGUCAUUGCUUCCCUACUGAUGGCAGCCACUGCUGGAGGGAUAGUACAGGGGAAAUCAUCCCUAGUGACUUUUCUGCUCUGUUGUUUACACUUGAUAUCUGAGACAUAGCAGAUAUUGUGGUGGGUAAAAAAUCAAGGCAACAGGACAUAGUCUGCCCUCCGAUUCCUGCUCCUUCUACCACGUCUGAUGGAGAAAAAGGUUUAUGCAAGCCUUGCCAAAAAUCUCAAACAUAAAAGCUACAUCUAGAAAUACUUUAAAGCUGGAGUUAGUCCUCACAAGUGAAUGUUCACUGUUUUCAUCAGUUUCAAGAGUUUCGAGAAUUAAUCAGCUGCGAAUUGUUUCUAAAACGAGACAAGAAGCAGCACUCAUCUGUGGGGGGUUGCAGCAAGCAUGAAAUGAAACAGAACACAAACGUGUGGCCAAAACUCUUAAAUGGGAAAACAAGCAGGCACCAAAAUAAGCAGUUGUACAAUGUGUUGUGUAAAGUGCCGUCACUGGGCAAUUCAUCAUCAACAGAAUAAAA
ensembl:lncRNA